AACUCUUUUUGAGGACCUGUGGUAGGAGGCAGAGAUAAAAAAAUGACAUUUCUGUCCUGUGACUGAAAACGGUGAUACAAACAGAAGGAGGAGCUGAAUAUAAUCCUCUGCUCACUGUCCACCAGACACCGACAGUAACCAGACCCUCCCACCUCUAGUGAAGUCAGAGCUCCAUCACUCUGAGUUCAGUCGGCUCACAACACAGUCAUGGUCCCAGCUGCUCUCAUAAAGCUCUCUGCAGCUCUGCUCUGGCUUGGAGGUCUAACAGACGGCAGUGAUGUCACUCAGACUCCUCUGCUGUGGGCCAACCAGAGUCAGUCUGCCACCAUCAACUGCAGUCACUCUAAAAAUGUUGACUUUGACCAGAUGUACUGGUACCAGCAGCUGCCGGGUCAGAACAUGAAGCAAAUAGUUUUCACCAGAGCGUACAGCGCUGCACAGUAUGAAGAAGGCUUCAGCAAGGAGAAGUUUGGAGCAGAGAAGAAAGACGCUUACACCGGGUCUCUGACAGUGAAGCAGCUGCAGCCUGAAGACGGCGGAGUGUAUUUCUGUUCUGUCAGUAAACACAGUGAUGCAGCCGAUUAAAGAGCUGCACAAAAACCCAGAGACGGUGAAAAAAAACUUCUCUGUUUUAACCUGUAGAUGGAGCUAAAGAGCAGUGGACUGUUUGGAUUUUAUACACAUAUAAUAAUCUUUAUAAUCGGGCUGUUUUAUCAAUUAAAAAAAAAAAGAUACAUGGAGAACAAUAAAUUUACACACUGAUACAACAAAAUGUUGGAUUUGAAUCAAAUAAAUCUGUUGUAUUGGGGCGAUAUUUGAGUAAAGAUUAUAACUUUAAAUGCACAAACAUACCAAAUAGUAAGUAGUAAUUAUAUUACUUGAAAUACAACAAAACUAAAAUAAUUAAAUUCCGAAUUCUUAUCAGAAUUGGUUUCUUAUCUGGAUAUGAUUUCAGUUUAUUUUGUUCCAUUUAGAUUGAACUUUCCUAAAUAUAUCUAAAUAAAUAACGCAUCGUUUUUGUAUUGUGAAA